UUUGUACUCCCUCCGUCCCAAAAUUCUUGUCUUAGAUUUGUUUAAACGCAGAUGUAUCAAGUCAUGUUUUAGUAUUAGAUACUACUGUAUCUAGAUGAAUUUAAGACAAGAAUUUUGGGACGGAGGGAGUAUUUG
rfam:Triticum aestivum genome assembly, contig: Triticum_aestivum_CS42_TGACv1_scaffold_094813_2AL